rnacentral:rRNA from 1 species
UACGUAGGGUGCAAGCGUUGUCCGGAAUUAUUGGGCGUAAAGAGCUCGUAGGCGGCUUGUCGCGUCGACUGUGAAAACCCGCGGCUCAACUGCGGGCCUGCAGCCGAUACGGGCAGGCUAGAGUUCGGUAGGGGAGACUGGAAUUCCUGGUGUAGCGGUGAAAUGCGCAGAUAUCAGGAGGAACACCAGAGGCGAAGGCGGCGCACUGGACAGCAACUGACACUCAACUGCGAAAGCGUGGGGAGCAAACAGG